ACGAACGCUGGCGGCAAGCUUAACACAUGCAAGUCGAACGGACCGUAUACGCAGCUUGCUGCGUGUAUGGUUAGUGGCAGACGGGUGAGUAAUGCAUAGGAAUCUACCUAGUAGUAUGGGAUAGCCACUAGAAAUGGUGGGUAAUACUGUAUAAUCCCUGCGGGGGAAAGAUUUAUCGCUAUUAGAUGAGCCUAUGUCAGAUUAGCUAGUUGGUGGGGUAAUGGCCUACCAAGGCGGUGAUCUGUAGCUGGUCUGAGAGGAUGAUCAGCCACACUGGAACUGAGACACGGUCCAGACUCCUACGGGAGGCAGCAGUGGGGAAUAUUGGACAAUGGGCGCAAGCCUGAUCCAGCUAUGCCGCGUGAGUGAGGAAGGCCUUAGGGUUGUAAAACUCUUUCAGUAGGGAAGAUAAUGACGGUACCUACAGAA
rnacentral:rRNA from 1 species